CCAGGUAAUAACAUGGCUAUAUACAGGGAGUACCAGGUAAUAACAUGGUUAUAUACAGGGAGUACCAGGUAAUAACAUGGCUAUAUACAGGGAGUACCAGGUAAUAACAUGGCUAUAUACAGGGAGGUAAUAACAUGGUGAUAUACAGGGA